rnacentral:rRNA from 4 species
GUCAGCGGUCAUAGGAGAGGGGCAUACGCCCGUUCCCAUCCCGAACACGGAAGCAAAGCCCUCUUACGACUACGCGAGUACUGUGCUCUGCAUGGGAAAACGGGUUGCUGCUGCCA